GAGUUUGAUCCUGGCUCAGAUUGAACGCUGGCGGUAUGCUUUACACAUGCAAGUCGAACGGCAGCAUAGGUGCUUGCACCUGAUGGCGAGUGGCGAACGGGUGAGUAAUGCAUCGGAACGUGCCCAGUCGUGGGGGAUAACGCAGCGAAAGCUGUGCUAAUACCGCAUACGAUCUAUGGAUGAAAGCGGGGGACCUUCGGGCCUCGCGCGAUUGGAGCGGCCGAUGUUAGAUUAGGUAGUUGGUGGGGUAAAGGCUCACCAAGCCGACGAUCUAUAGCUGGUCUGAGAGGACGACCAGCCACACUGGAACUGAGACACGGUCCAGACUCCUACGGGAGGCAGCAGUGGGGAAUUUUGGACAAUGGGCGAAAGCCUGAUCCAGCAAUACCGCGUGCAGGAAGAAGGCCCUCGGGUUGUAAACUGCUUUUGUACGGAACGAAACGGCGCGCUCUAAUAAAGUGCGCUAAUGACGGUACCGUAAGAAUAAGCACCGGCUAACUACGUGCCAGCAGCCGCGGUAAUACGUAGGGUGCAAGCGUUAAUCGGAAUUACUGGGCGUAAAGCGUGCGCAGGCGGUUUUGUAAGACAGGCGUGAAAUCCCCGGGCUUAACCUGGGAAUUGCGCUUGUGACUGCAAGGCUAGAGUACGGUAGAGGGGGGUAGAAUUCCGCGUGUAGCAGUGAAAU
rnacentral:rRNA from 1 species